AGUGGGCUGGGCGUGGGUGCCGAGGGGGCUCACCGUCUGGUCAACCUUACUCAGGGUUGGUUUCCCGGGUGUAUUUUUUUAAAUGACAGUGUUUCUUGAGAGACAGUGUCCCUAGAAGGCGAGGCGGUGGGGAAUUCCGAGGUGUGCCGGCCUCAUACACCCUCCCAGCGGAUUGGCCAGUGUGCGCUCUGAGGACCCCGCCCUCUGGUGCCUUUCUGGUGGUUCCACGAAUCAGAAUCAGUAUGACAGUGCCUAACAGCAUCAUCGGCGAGAAUCACAGUUACUUUUAUGAGAUAGAAUGACAGUUAUUAUAAUAACGUUAACACUCCAGCCUUCCCCAUGUGCCGGGGAAAUGCAAAAUUUUACACGGAUUGUCUCAUUUAAGCCCGCACACAGCCUUAUGAGAUGAAUAGUCUCUGUCCUCAAGGAACUUGGAAUUUAGUGGAAGGAGCUUUUACCAAACGAUAAACCUUUACUCAGAGUAUGGCUUAGACUUUCUUUUUCCUUCAUAUUGUUAAGUAAAGCUCCAAGUUGGUCUUUUUGGGGUCAAACAAGAACAAGCCCAGGAUUCUAAGACACAGAGUUUGCAAAUAAGAACUGGAUUCAUUUACAAAGUCCAUGAUUCAUAGAAUGGGCCAGCAGAUGAAGUUUUGGAAGUUACAGUCAAAGUCGUGGUCAUUGAAACCUGGAGAAUGGCUGAGAUCAAGAAAAGAGGCUUAGAGAAAGAGGGGGCUGUGUGCAGGACUUUGGUGAUGGUCCUAAUUCACAGAACAAGAGGAGAAUAAGCAUCCAGCAAAACAAACAGCAGAGCCAUCUGAGAAGAGAUAAGGAAAUUGCAUUGUCGCAGCUCCCUCUGUGAUGAUUUGAUAUCAAAAUGAAGAAUUGUGCCAGGAGGCAGGUUGGACUGUUUAAGAGUAAUAAUGACAAUGACAGCCCACUCUGCAGUCUCUCCUGGCCCUGCUUUGUAUAACAUCAGCUUCAACUCUGCAUGAGCCCUAUUGCUAUACUCCUUUUCCCCUUAAGUAGGUAUGGUCCUCACUCACGGCAAAGGUGCACCAUCCCAAUAUUGUGGACAUUUAUUGGCUAACUUCCCAGCAUCAGUUCCCUCACCUUUUUUGUCCAAAAGCAUUCUGAUUAUUCUUUGGGUAAUUCAUCUUUCCCUCCAUUUUCAGCGAUGUGGAUUGUUUAAAAUUGGUCCCACCCUUCAGCUCUAGGGUAUCCCAUCACUCUGGUUGUAGUCAUUGGUUCAGAGAUGUGCAUGUGACUGAAUCCAAGUCAGUGAAAUAAAAUGAGAUAUUCCCUGGGA